GUGCUCGCCUCAGCAGCACAUAUACUAAAAUUAAAACGAUACAGAGAAAAUUAGCAUGGUUCCUGCACAAGGAUGACACACAAAUUUGUGAAUCAUUCCAUAUUUUU